CUUGACUGUAUCCUGGAAUUGGGUUCGGGCUUUUCUUGCGCAGCCUAGGUGGGAGGCGUUGAAGAUCCCCUUCCGGGGGGAUCAGAGCCGCCAUUGAGAGACCACUCUGGAAGAGCUAGAAUCCUAAUGGUGAUCCUUGAAUCAGGACACUUGACAGUUUCAGGUGGGCAGUUUUUCUGGAGCGGAAGCCUCAUAAAGGGUAACUGAGGCGCGCAAAGGUCCCCUCAGUCUGGACGGAAAUCAGACAACGAGUGUAAAGGCAAAAGGGGGCUUGACUGCAAGACCUACAAGUCGAGCAGGAGCGAAAGCUGGCCUUAGUGAUCCGACGGUACCGUGUGGAAGGGCCGUCGCUCAACGAAUAAAAGUUA
rnacentral:rRNA from 1 species